rnacentral:rRNA from 1 species
UGCAGUCGAGCGGUAGAGAGAAGCUUGCUUCUCUUGAGAGCGGCGGACGGGUGAGUAAUGCCUAGGAAUCUGCCUGGUAGUGGGGGAUAACGUUCGGAAACGGACGCUAAUACCGCAUACGUCCUACGGGAGAAAGCAGGGGACCUUCGGGCCUUGCGCUAUCAGAUGAGCCUAGGUCGGAUUAGCUAGUUGGUGGGGUAAUGGCUCACCAAGGCGACGAUCCGUAGCUGGUCUGAGAGGAUGAUCAGUCACACUGGAACUGAGACACGGUCCAGACUCCUACGGGAGGCAGCAGUGGGGAAUAUUGGACAAUGGGCGAAAGCCUGAUCCAGCCAUGCCGCGUGUGUGAAGAAGGUCUUCGGAUUGUAAAGCACUUUAAGUUGGGAGGAAGGGCAGUAAAUUAAUACUUUGCUGUUUUGACGUUACCGACAGAAUAAGCACCGGCUAACUCUGUGCCAGCAGCCGCGGUAAUACAGAGGGUGCAAGCGUUAAUCGGAAUUACUGGGCGUAAAGCGCGCGUAGGUGGUUAGUUAAGUUGGAUGUGAAAUCCCCGGGCUCAACCUGGGAACUGCAUUCAAAACUGACUGACUAGAGUAUGGUAGAGGGUGGUGGAAUUUCCUGU